UACGUCAACAACAUUCGUGAUCCUUGUGGAGCUGAAUGGCUUAGCUGUGAUGACGACACUGUGAAAUCCGUCACGUGGUCAAAAGCUUCCAACACCAUAGAAAAUUAUGGAUACAUGUUUUUCUAUUUGAAGAGCUGAAAAAAAAGAAACGGCUCCAUAUUUUCAGAUCUUUUGUAGGUCCGUGUGCGACCCCCUCCUCGGCUUCUUCCACCUGGACCGGCCCACUGGACAUGUGGCCGGCUGUAGGGAGGUGACGGGGGUGUGACUAGCUCUGUGCUGGAGGAGUCGGACGAGGAGUCCCACGACUCCCUACGUCCCCGCCUGCCACGGAGGCUCUCUGGCGGUGGAGAGGCUGCCGAGGGUGAGGUGGACAGCACGGUUAUGCCCACGACCCCGAUCUGCAGGGCGCAACCCCCUUGACUCCGGCCGGUUCAUGGCGUAUCUAACUACGCGAUCGAAGUCCAGCGGUCUCAGCAUUCUCAUCUCCGCCCGCGAAAGUGGGUCCCUGAGGCCGGCGUUAAAGAGGACCGCCAGUUCUGCCUCCCCAAAGACCACCUCCUCUGCUGCCUCCAGGAACUCAUCGACGAAGUCGUUGAGGUCGGAGUCCCCUUGGCACAGACCGCAAAGGAGGUGAGCCUGGCGAGAUCGGGUUGCAUCCAUGCUGUCUCCUGGUUUCAAUACGGAUCGGUUCGUUCUGUCACAGAUGUGGUGAACAGAACCCAAGUGCAGACAGCAGUGAAGGGGUUAACAAAUAUCUUUAUUAAAUAAGAUCAAAAACCCACGAGGGGGGAACAAACAUGAUAACAAAAAGGCUUCUUAAAAGGCAAACAAAGAACUUCCCACGAGGGGGCAAAACAAAAACUAAAGAAAACAAAACUAAACAACAGGGAUAAGGCAAGAAUGAGGCGGGGCAAGGCAAGGCAGGGCAGGGCAGGGCAGGAACACGAACCAGGGCAGGGUUCACAUGAACUUGGAACGAAGAACAAACCAACAAGGGACAAGAAGAAACUGGGGCUAUAAAUAGGGGACACUAACAAGGGAAGUAACGAGGGCCAGGUGAGAGGAAUCAAACACUGAAUGGGAACAAUGACGGGAGCGAUGACGAGGAAACAAGGGGCGGGGCCAAGGCACAAGACAAGAAGACACGUGGCGCAAUGUCAUAACAAACAGCCACGUGUCUCCACAUAAGACAUAACACACACAUAAGACAUGGCACUGUCAUGACCCUGUCCUCAAAACUAGGAACUCUGGACAAGAGGGACAGGAUCAUGACAGAAAACCAUACUUAAGUAAAAGUACAGAUACCUUGCAGCCAAGGCCGGACUUACCAUUGGCCUUGACUGGGCCCCGCCCUUCAGGGGCCCCGCCCUUCAGGGGCCCCGCCUGCUCUCGUUCAUUUGAUUUGUUUAGUUAUAUGCCAGUCAUUUAUUUUUCAUUUAAACUUUGUGCAUUGGCCUACCAAGGUUCAAUAGCAUUGCCUUAUGUAAGGAAUGAUGUCGUUUAAUUGGCUAAACGUUCCGUCAGUCAUGCUGGCGUUUCCUGGUUGGUUACUUGUGGAUUCUAUCCAAAAUGUUUACCUCAGUUGAAACCUGUCUGCUCAUUAUGACGCUUGUUCUAAUGGCUGACAAACGCAAUCGCAGUGCCGCGCUUAAAGAAAACCAAAAACUGAGAGACAAGAACGCGAAAGAACAGCAUUUAGAAAGUAAUAAUUCUUUACACCCAUGGCACCACACCUUGAUCUUUAGGCAGAGAAUCCAGAGCAUACAUGUCAACACUCCCAUUUUUCACACCCAUCUCCCGCCAGGCCGCCACCCUCCGGUUUUAUUUAGUUAUUUCUCCUUUGAAACUCGCGGACCGACGGGAGCCGGAACGCGUUCACUGGGUGGCUCUGUGGCUUGAGCCGCUGCCCAUUUGUCCUCACAGGCUGGCGCCCUUUGGUAGACGAAGUAGAGUAGAGAGGAUUCACAUCCCCGCAAAAAACUGUCUCUGAAUACACCGCUAUAUGAUUCCACUCCGCGUUAUCCAUUUGACGCUUGCUCCUCACAGUCUGUGUCCGCUCAGUGAACACGACAGAUCGGUUCAUCGACAGGUAGAUGCAGUAGAGUCUACUAGCUGUUGUUGUUGUUACACUUUCUUUGCUUUUACAAAAAACGUGUUAUGAAAAGUGUUGUGUUCUGCAGACAUCUCUGAAUAAAAACUGGUAAUAUCGAGUUUAUUUCCAAUAUUUCCCGUUCUGUGACCAUAAGCGGUUCUUGUAAAUAAUAUGCAAACACUGUUAAAUCCAUCCAUGUAAAUAAAAAAUGAAAACAUUCUGCCAACUAAUAAACAAAGUUAAAACAACCGAACUACGGGACGCGUGAAGGGACAAACUGCUCGUGCUUUUUCAAACGGCGUUUAGAUAGUUAUUUCAUUUCUGACGUUGAGAUAUCUGGUAAAAUGUAAAUGCUAAAUUAAGAUGAUACCUUGCAGACAUACCAUUCAUGGAUUCAUGGCCUGUGAGCUGCAUUAAACAGUCUCUUAGAUUUACAUUUAAGAAUUUGACAUUAAAAUGAUGUUAUGUUAGUCUUAAAGUAAUUAAAACGAUUUAUAACAGAGGGGUGCCCUUUUUGCCCUGCACAACCUCAGUUAACUAGACUUUACAAAACUUUGGACCUAUCUCAUUAUUAUGAAACUAUUUAAGCCAUAAUAAGACGUUUCAUCUCAUUAUAUGAAUACAAUUUUAAUGUGCAUUUCAAACUCAUAGAUCUGUCAUAUGCUUUACUGAUGGAAUUGCAAUAGAAUACAUUUAAGUAUGUUUGAAACUUCCUACACGCUAUAAACGUACCACUUGUGGCUCCCACUGUCAAAACAAGCAUUAUAAACGUGUAAACCAAUGAACCAGUGUCAUUGUUGGUCAUUGGAGAAAAAAACAUUUACUAAUGCUAACAAACAUAUGAUUUUAAAUAGUGGGGGGGCUUGUUGGUUGUGGUUCGGGGCGUUUCAUUUGUUGGGACUGUGUGGAUCUGGUCUGGUUGGUCUUGUUUUGUGGUCGAUGUCGGACAACAGAGGAAUAAAGUUAAUUAUGCCAUUACUACUUUUCCCUGGUUGUUCCUCUGUUGUCUGUUGUUGAUCGCGGAAUGGGACCGGGUUGGACCUGCACGGUUUCGGCGGGUGGGGCUUCCUGGGUCGCGGCUCGUGGGCUCUCCCUGUUCUUCGUGGACGUUGCUCGGUGGCUUUGGUCGGGGUCACUGAGUGCAGCUAUGACACGUCAGAGGAGAUCUGGCCCUCCCGGCUGAGCCUGGUUUCUCCCGAGGUUUUUUUUUCUCCAUUAUUCAGCAUUGGAGUUUGGGUUCCUCGCCACAGCAGAGCAGUGCAGUGUUGGCUUGCUCACCGGGAGACUGCAUUUAUUUAUUUAUUCAUUUAUUUAUUAGAUAUUAUUUAUUAUAAUGAUCUUGCUUGGUCUAUAAACACCAUGCACUGUGCUGUGUUUUACCUUUCUGUGUUUUUCUUAUUUGCUCCUGUAAAGCUGCUUUGGAACAAUGCACAUUGUGAAAAGCGCUAUAUAAAUAAAAUUGAAUUGAAUUGAAUUGAAAUAGUACGGGGGCCCCGAAAACAACUCAAGCCCAGGGGCCCCCAUCCUCCUAAAUCCGGCCCUGCUUGCAGCGAAAAUUACAUUACAAGUUACAAGUCACCAAUUCCAAAACGACUUCAGUAAAAGUCUUCGAGUAUCUGAUUUUAACAGUACUUGAGUAUUUUACUCAUACUGAAUGUAGGCUCAAAGAAGCACUACUCCUCAACACUUAAGAGACAUGUCAGUGAAAAGCAAGAAACAGUUGAGGUGAGGACAGCAAUGGCAUUUAUUUUCUGAAAUCAUAAUAAGACUGAACACCUCAAAAUUGCAACAAAUCAUUGUCAACACCAUAACCUACUGCACAUCUAUUACAAACACCCAAGUCUCAUUUCAAAUCAAAAUCAAAUCAAAUCCCUUUAUUGUCACUCAACCAUAUACACAAGUGCAACAGUAGGUGAAAAACAUUUAAGCUCAAGUGCUCAUAAGUAAACCAAACUCCUUCAAAACGGUCUCUUCAAUAUGACGGAUAAAUAAAAUAAUGUUUUUUUGCACUGGACAUGCUGGUUUUGGCCUCAUCGCCAGCUGCAGUCAUGUCCUCAUUUCACAUAUAAACCUCAAGCGAUUGACAACUAACUGAUAAUGCACUCGUAUUCACAUAAAGAAGCCAUGUUGACAAGUUUUAGUAAGUUAGGGCAAAAUCCACAAGAUAUAUACCUUCAAUGCCCUGUAAAAGGCAAUAUUAAUUCUUCUGUUGCAAAAAUAAACUCCUGCAAAAAAAGAUAGGUGCCAUGCAAAAUGUAAUGUGUAAUUGCAUUAGUCAUUACAAAUGUAGUAAAGAGUACAUACACUUAUUCAAAAAUGUAAAGUAGAGAGUAAAAGUUGCUAAUAUCUUUAAUACUCUACAACUACAAAGUAGCCAAAAAGAUACUUAAGUAAAGUAACUAAGUACAUUUACUCCAAUACUUUACACCACUGCAUGGAUUUUAGAAGGGUAGUAUCGCCCCAAAUGGAAUACUAAACGGUUUUAUACUAACCGGAAGUAUAUUAGUUUCCCAGGCGAGCGCAAAUUACAUCAAUUGCAGGGCACAAAGCAUGUGAAUAAAAAUCAACUUGUCAUCAACCCUAAAUCUACAUUGUAUAUUUAAUGUAGUUUUCAUCAGUUCAGAUUGAAGCCUUUUUACUCUGCAGGAGAGUUUUGCUCGGGCCUCCCUUCUGCUAUGUAAGCGAAACUGCGACCGUUGAGUGUGUGAAGUGUCCACAGUUCCACACUUAAUAUUUUUGGUUAAAAAAGUGCAUCAUCCAGGCACUUAAAGUGCACUUCUAUUUUUAGAAAUUUCAAUGUGAACGCACUACUCACACUAUUUAUUCUACAAAAUGGCGUAGAAUAGUGCAUAAGUGCGCGAUUUGGGACGCACCUAAAGUGUCGGCUCGGAUAAAGAGAAAAUGGCGUUGAUAUUUAUUACUCAGUUCGCCCGUGUGAUGGAAACGGCUAUGUUAUGAGAUACUGUUGCCAAUCUCAUUUUCGAAUUUCCACUUCUAGAGCUCUGCCCUUCUAAAUUAGUGGCACUUGGGUGCGAUUAAUAUUCAUCAGAAGUUUCAGUCACAGAAGCUGUAGUUUACAGAUGAUAUUUAAUAUUUAUUUUAGAGACCAAUCAAUUCGCUUCGUACUACAUUAAAGUCCCAGUGAAAUAAAAAAUGACAAUGCCUAUUUUUUCAUGAAAUAACCCAGCUUUAUUGUAAAUAGUUUAUCAAUGUAGGUCAUUCUCUUUUAAAAAUUCGUCCGGCCUCAUAAUCUUAAAUUAAAAUCUGAAAAUACACUUCUUUCCUGUAAUGACUAUCCAUCUUAAAUUACAUAUGUUAGCCACGGCCACUAUUUUUCCUGUGAUUAUCUGCUGCCCCAUAGGUGUCAUGUGGUGCACUUGAAAAACUUGUGCGGGCCAAAAUACUGAAUAAAUACUGAAUAAAUCAAUCAAAUUGUGGCUGGUGACAGGUUUUUUAUCAUUUAAUCAAAUGUUUUCUUUUUUCUUGUCAGAGUGUUCCAGAAUGCAUAAUUUACAUGUUUCAAUUUUUCUUAUGGGGAGGAUGACCCCAGACCCAUUGCACGCACACCCAACAACCUUGCACACCACCACCCCCAACCCCAAACAACCCCCCGAAAAGUUUUAAUUAAAAUUUGAUUAAAGUUUAAUUAAAUUCUGAUCCGACUCAGAUGUUACUUAUUGGACCAAAAAACCUGUAAACAGAAGCUCUUAAAAUGAUACUUUGCUGCUAGAGGGAUUAACUGUUACCUCAUCCAAUUCAGUUACGCUUGGGUUUUAUAUUAGACAGCAACUUUUACAAAAAUGGCCUCCACCUUAGAAACAUUGCACUCUUUUUAGGAUAACACGACUCUAGUAGUUUAUGGAUAACAAAGUCCACUAAAGGAGGUAGAGCAUUUCCCAGUUAGCACCUAAACUCUGGAAAGCCUCCCUGAAACUGUUUGGUUCAGAAAUCCUAUCCCACUUUAAGUUAAGUGAUAGUUCACCCAAAAAUGAAAAUUUACUCCCCCUCAGAUUGUUAUACAUUUCUUUCUUCUACUGAACACAAAGUAAGAUUUUGGAAGAAUGUCAGUAACCAAACAGAUCUCAUCCCCCAUUUACUGCCAUAGUAGGGAAAAUAAAUACUAUGGGAUAGAGCCCUGUUUAGCCCUGAUAGACUGUUUUCUUAAACCUGCACCCGCCCGCUCCCGCUGAAUGUAUGACCAGGACCGCCCACUCCCGUAACCUGCGUGUUCCACUCCCGCCCGCAAUGUUUGUGUCCACUCCCGCCCGCUUCCACUGACUUUAUCUCACAGCUUGUGAAAAAUGUACACAAAUACUCAGACUAAAUAUUCGUUCAAGUUCAAAUCCAGAAUAACAGACUUUAAACAUGAUUGCGUUUAAAUAAGAUGAAGUAACCAAUGCUAAACCAAAGCACCACACAUGACAAAAACGUUGGGUAUUUUUUUAUUAGCGUUAUAAAACAUUAACCGUUAAAACAAAACAGCAACUAGCGGCACCUCAGUUUUUACAUGCAGGCUACUGCGUAUACGCACCAAACGAUUAACUAGGAAAUAACUUUAACAUUAAGUAAAUAAACACAGAGAACUUUGAAAAUAGGCUAUAUAAUUUUAACAAAUUAAAUACAAAACAAAAUAAAUAGAAUGCUUCAAAAAAAUCUCACAGAUUUCACAUUCACAAUAGCUUGCUUAACAGGCUAACAGGUUAACUCUUUCCCAUUUUUUUUCAGUGACAAUUGAGAAUUGUUUCCAGAUGUCUGACUUGCCUUGCUUUGCUUUUGUCAAGUAAACAACCGUUUUAAUUUUCUUCUCAACUUCUUGUGUUGACUCCAUUUCUACUACAUGCCAAAUCCCACCAUUCCCCGCGGGUCUCCCGUGAAAUUUUCUCACCGCCCACUCCCGCCCGCACCAAAGGUAAAACCACCCGCUCCCGCAAGAUUUACGUUGGGUCCCACCGGGAGCCCAAACCCAAUGCAGCCCUCUACUAUGGGAGUCAAUGGAUGAUGAGAUCCGUUUGGUUAAUGACAUUCUUUCAAAUAUCUUCCUUUGUGUUUGGCAGAACAAAGAAAUGUAUACAGGUUUGGAACAAUCUGAGGGUGAGUAAAUGAUGACAGAAUUGUCAUUUUUGGGUGAACUAUCCUUUUAAAGACACGUCACUUUAGCCAAGCUUUCACUUGCAUCUCAAUCCUUGUGUUGUUCCAGUUAUAUCAGGUCAAACACAAAUGAUUACUUUGGCCUGAAAUAAAAUGUUAUGAACAGCAGCUACGCUAAUUUUGCUCUGUCUGCUCUUCUGUUCCUACCUUGGGAUGCCCAUCCUGAGGUAACUAGAGACAAUGACGGCUCAAGUUUAGAUCCAGCCUACUGUGAAGACUUCAGGUGACUCAACACUUGUGAAGAGAUGACAUCAAUCCCUGCAAGGACAUCAGAAACAUCAGCUGGAUAUGGAUCGUCACACAACUGUCAAUUCAAAAAAAAAAAAUACGACAAUGGAAGCUGCUAACAAUAAUCAAGAUAGUCAGUUCAAGAUGGGAAAAGACAAGAAGAAGAAGGGAAGGCUGCGACGAGCUUUGAAAAAAGUCUUCUGUUGCUUCAAUCCCUACGUUUCUUCCACCUCAAAAGAGUCUCCUGAGGAUGAUCUUGUGUUUGUGUGUGUGCAUUGUUUUGUUCGAGCACAUGGCACUUUGUUUUGACAGCGCACCAUGUGCUCGGUGUCCACCUGGCUUCGCCCCUCCCCUCUUGUUACCCCAUUCAUUGUCUCCUUUCCACCUCGCACCAGUUUCUCGUUUUCCCCCAUCCCGUUCGUACCUGCAGCCAUUCUCCUGUUAUUAAUUGUCCUAUUUAUUCCCUGUCCCCCUCUCGUCUUGUGUCAGACCGUUGUGAUUAGUUCAUAGUGCUGACUGGCUAAGCCUGGUCUAGUUUCUAGAAUAAGCAUUAAGCUUACCUCUUUUCUUGUCAGGUAAAGUCUCCAGUGCCUUAGCCUCUGUCUGUUAUUGCCCUCUGUGUCUACUGUCUCAUUGGCGUCCCGGACUCCUCGGCUGUCAGACACCUUGGCACAACUCUCCAUCAGCGGGUUACUACUCUCCUCGUGACUCAUCUCAUCUGCUGUCUCCGCCGCCGUCUAGUCAACCACCCGCUGCCGUUGACCCGAGCCGACCUGCCACGCCUCAUCUCCCCGCCUCCUGCUGACUCUUCCCCGGACCCGACGCUGCUGCUGGUUGUGCCAGUCCUUGCCCUCAUUGAACUGCCUUGCUACCUUGUGGUGUUUUCUCAAUAAAGUCUUUUUUCUCUCCCCGCAAUUGAAUCCUACCUCUUCUGUCAUGACAGACGUCUAUGAGCCUUCGACUAGUAAGACUAAGACGCCAUCAACACCUUCAUCCAGCGAGACACAAAACGUUUCUGAAUCUUCUGCCACCAAGUCUCAGAAAACCAAAAAGACAGGUUUCAUGGCCCUUCUUAAGGUGAAGAUGUCGAGAAGUCAGUCAAAACGAUCCUGUAAGACUGACUCUACAGUGCCCGCUCCACCGAAGCCACCCACUGUAUUGGGAGGUGCAGCCAUGAUCUUGGGCAGCGAAACCUCUGACAACAGCGAUGAGGUUUAUCUGCCAGUUGCACAGAAGAAUAGAGAUAUUCUCGAAGAAUAUUUUGUAUUAGAGAAGAUGCAUGCACCUUCUAUCACCUCAUCUGAGACCUUCUACUCCGCUGAGGAAGAUGAUCUGUUUUAUGCCAGUUAAUACUUGUCAUAUGAGCUGGAAGAUGUAUCCAGAGAUUUUGAUGAAGAGCGGAGCGUCAGUUCUCUGGUUUCUUUCACAUACACCAGCUGCAGCAGUGAUACUUCUGGUCUUCUGCUCACACACCUAGAUGCAGGAGCUGUGAGAGGUAAGAAAAAAUGAUAAAU